GAUGAAGAACGUAGCGAAAUGCGAUAAGUAAUGUGAAUUGCAGAAUUCAGUGAAUCAUCGAAUCUUUGAACGCACAUUGCGCCCGCCAGUAUUCUGGCGGGCAUGCCUGUCCGAGCGUCAUUUCAACCCUCGAACCCCUCCGGGGGGUCGGCGUUGGGGACCUCGGGAGCCCCUAAGACGGGAUCCCGGCCCCGAAAUACAGUGGCGGUCUCGCCGCAGCCUCUCCUGCGCAGUAGUUUGCACAACUCGCACUGGGAGCGCGGCGCGUCCACGUCCGUAAAACACCCAACUUCUGAAAUGUUGACCUCGGAUCAGGUAGGAAUACCCGCUGAACUUAAGCAUAUCAAUAAGCGGAGGA
rnacentral:misc_RNA from 1 species